rnacentral:rRNA from 1 species
GACGAACGCUGGCGGCGUGCCUAAUACAUGCAAGUAGAACGCACAGUUUAUACCGUAGCUUGCUCCACCAUAAACUGUGAGUUGCGAACGGGUGAGUAACGCGUAGGUAACCUGCCUGGUAGCGGGGGAUAACUAUUGGAAACGAUAGCUAAUACCGCAUAAUAUUAAUUAUUGCAUGAUAAUUGAUUGAAAGAUGCAAUUGCAUCACUACCAGAUGGACCUGCGUUGUAUUAGCUAGUAGGUGAGGUAACGGCUCACCUAGGCGACGAUACAUAGCCGACCUGAGAGGGUGAUCGGCCACACUGGGACUGAGACACGGCCCAGACUCCUACGGGAGGCAGCAGUAGGGAAUCUUCGGCAAUGGACGAAAGUCUGACCGAGCAACGCCGCGUGAGUGAAGAAGGUUUUCGGAUCGUAAAGCUCUGUUGUAAGAGAAGAACGGGUGUGAGAGUGGAAAGUUCACACUGUGACGGUAUCUUACCAGAAAGGGACGGCUAACUACGUG